rnacentral:misc_RNA from 1 species
GUAUAUAUUAUACAGGGCACAACAUUCUAUUAACAUACAUUGUGGAAAAAUGAAGCAACAUAGACCCCGAAAGGUCUACAAAAGGUGCACAGGUGGAGAUAUAAAGAUGACAAGGUGUGCACAUUGCUCCCUGGAGAACCAGCAACAACCCAUCAGGUUUAUUUCAAUAAUGAUCCUUCCGCAGGUUCACCUACGGAAA